AUUUAUAUAGUUUAGAAAAAACAUUGCACUUUCAUUGCAAAAUCAAGACCUCCUUUAUAAAUU
rnacentral:tRNA from 1 species